AUACGUAGGUGGCGAGCGUUAUCCGGAAUUACUGGGUGUAAAGGGUGUGUAGGCGGGUCGGCAAGUCAGACGUGAAAAUCAAAGGCUCAACCUUUGACUUGCGUUUGAAACUGUCGAUCUUGAGGAUGGGAGAGGUAAACGGAAUUCCUAGUGUAGUAGUGAAAUGCGUAGAUAUUAGGAGGAACACCGGUGGCGAAGGCGGUUUACUGGACCAUAACUGACGCUGAGACACGAAAGCGUGGGGAGCAAACAGGAUUAGAUACCCUGGUAGUCCACGCUGUAAACGAUGAAUACUAGGUGUGGGGACCGUAGGGUUUCCGUGCCGCAGUUAACACAAUAAGUAUUCCACCUGGGGAGUACGGCCGCAAGGUUGAAACUCAAAUGAAUUGACGGGG
rnacentral:rRNA from 1 species